UAGUAAAUGGUGGCCAAGCCUGGGAUGUCAAAACAAAGUAAGCUGCAGGUGAAACCUACCAAUCAAAGAUUGCUUUUCAAGAUCAUGCUGAUCUCCAGGACAUUGUUUUGAAGCAAGACAAAGUUUCUCCAGAUCAUAGUCCACAAUGAUAUUUUUUCACUUUUGGCUAGCCAGAACACCAGAUAUUCUACAGAUUGCUGCAGUAUCAGGGAAUGAAGAGAUGAAUGUCUAUAUGUGACCAACAACUCAGAUUUGUCUUGAAGCUUCUGUGGCCACUCGGAUGACAUGCAUUGGUGGAGUACUAAAACGUAAAGGACAAACAGUUACAUCAGUCCCUCCAGAGGAUGGUCUUAGAUAUUUCCUUGUGUUUUUAAAGGAAUUUUUCAAGCCCAUUUUGGUUGGCCACAAUGUGCAGAAUUUUGAUGUCCCAGUCCUGGUGAAUCAGCUGACAAAAUAUGGUUUAUUGGAACAUUUCAAAGAAAAUGUUUCUGGAUUUCUUGAUAGAAUGGAACUUGCAAAAAAAAAAUCCGGAAAAAAGGGAUUGAUGUAGAGAACUAUAAGCAAGAGAUUUUAGUGAAAUCACAUCUUAAGAUGCACACAAUCACUUAAGCAACUCUACGAGAAAAAGAAUAUCUGAUAUGUCAUCUUCAAAUGAUGUGUUCGCUCUGUCAUACUAUGCAUGCAAAUCAUCAUUAGACACCUCAGUGAAGUCUAAAGUUAUUUCAUCCCUGCCAAACAUAUUGAAGAAUCUUGUUGAUUGUUCCCUUAGUCUGUCUAGUAUCAAAGCUGAGAUGAAUUCACAAACGUGACCCAUACAAUGGAAUCGGGAAUGUGUUCUGUGAACGUGCAGAUGAAACAAAGAUCCUGAGAGUAUCAAAAUCCAAAAAUGUUAUUGACAAAGUUGUGGCUUAUUUGAAUGCACCAUGAGAACAUUUACAAAUGUGUAGUAUGUAUUUACUAUUGAUCUGAAUUUAAGAGAUAUCCCAGGUCCAGAUAUUGAGGGUAAAAAACAUGAAAAAUACCAGCAAGUGGUUGGGUCUUCCAACUUUUUCUCUCAAAAAUUCUUAUUUGCUGAAAGGUUAAAGGUCAAGGUCAUUUGGGUCACUCUGUAGAUGUGCCUCCUCAUGUUUCACACUUCUUUAGUACAUAUAAUGGAUAUCAAAAGAAAAGUUUCAUGCAGGUAAUUUUGUAUUUUUUCUUUGUGUUUGAGAAAAAAAAUGGGGGGGGGGGGUUAAACAGCAGCCUGCACUGACUUUAUCAAUAUGGAAAGGUAUACAUUUUUUUAUGUUUAUCAAUUUGUUAGAUGUUUAUUUACUUACUUUAAAAAGAAUUAUUAGGUUUAAACCCAUAUUUUUCUUAUUUUACCUGAACUUGCUGAUAAUUUUCAUUUUUUUUUCAACUUUAGCAGAACAACAUAAAUGCUUUCUUUUUCAUUUAAACAUGUAUAUGUGACUGUAUUGUUACAAAAAUUGUGUAAAAAUAUUAUUUCAGUUUAUCUAUUGUAUUAUAAGAGCUACUUUCUAGCCAAAUAAUUAGCAACCAACGUAAAAAGUACCUCAGCAUGAAUUUUAAUAAAUUUGAAAAACAGACAUAUCUUGAUCUCAUUGAUAUACUUAUUUAAUGUGGCAAUGUGCUAGUUUUAUUUGUUUUUUGUGUUGCUUAGAUAUCCUACUUUUAGUAUGCAAAACAAAUUUGGGAUUAAACCCAUAUAACUCUGAGUAUGGAAAGACCU